rnacentral:rRNA from 1 species
AAAUGAAUUGACGGGGGCCCGCACAAGCGGAGGAACAUGUGGUUUAAUUCGAUGAUACGCGAGGAACCUUACCCGGGCUUGAACUGUGGAGGAAUGCGGUGGAGACACCAAAGCUCUUCGGAGCCUCCAUGGAGGUGCUGCAUGGUUGUCGUCAGCUCGUGCCGUGAGGUGUCGGCUUAAGUGCCAUAACGAGCGCAACCCCUUUCGUCAGUUGCCAUCACUUCGGGUGGGCACUCUGGCGACACUGCCACCGUAAGGUGCGAGGAAGGUGGGGAUGACGUCAAAUCAGCACGGCCCUUACGUCCGGGGCUACACACGUGUUACAAUGGGGCAUACAGAAUGUUGGAUGACGGCAACGUCGUUCUAAUCUUUAAAGUGUCCCUCAGUUCGGAUUGGGGUCUGCAACCCGACCCCAUGAAGCUGGAUUCGCUAGUAAUCGCGCAUCAGCCAUGGCGCGGUGAAUACGUUCCCGGGCCUUGUACACACCGCCCGU